CCCCGCCCAUCACGGGCCUAGGUUGUACGGGUUUGCAGUCUUCGGGCCACUGUUCGAGAGGCCUUCGCUGGUCGGGUGGGUGUUGCCAGGAGGAUGCAGCUUUGCGCCAAAGUCAGGGAGGGCGCCCAAAGCCGCGAACAAGGUUCAGCGCCCUCCAAAGCCAACUCGGUCCUAUUCAAACCUCGCGCGCCCAUUGGAACAGCCCCCUGGGGCGGGGCAUACGUAGGCCACCUGAGUGGCGGCUCUUGGCUCCAGUGAAUGGCCUGCUUCGUGCUAGCUCUGACCCCACCCCCCAGGAGGGAGGAACGGCACAGAGUCCUGGGCCUGGAUUCCCCAGGGGAAGCCGCGUGCUCCUUAACUGGACCCUCCGAGGGGUUCCGCCCUAAGUCCGAAGUAAGACUGUGGAGUUUGGAACCUUGAAGAAAGAGCACCCUAGUUACCACCAAAGGCCAAUCAGGAUCCUGAAAUCUGACCAAUCAGAUGAUUGGCGGCGGGGCCAUGUGGAGUAAGCCUCACUCCCAGCCUCUGCAAAAGAGGAGAGGAAAGGUUUUGCUCCAGUUCUUACAACCAGCUCCAACCUGCUGGUUGACUCCCGAAUCCCUGGGGGCUGAAAGGAUGCAGUGAGUGUUCCUCAGACGGGCCAAGCUGGUCCCUCCCACCCAGCCUUUGAUCUUGCCCGUGCUUUCUGCUUGGACAGCUCUUUCUCCUCAUCAUCACUCUGGCUGGCUCCUGAGUACCAUUCAGGUCUCAACUCAAAAGUCACCUCCUUAGCAAGGCCUUCCCAGCGCACCUAUCUGAAGCUCCAGACAUUACUCUGUAUUGUAUUAUCCUUUUGUAUUUUUAUUAUUUGUUAAAUCAUAGCAGUUAUUACCUGAAAUUUAUGUGUUGCUGUUUGUUUUUUUUUUAUUUU